GUAGGUGGCAAGCGUUGUCCGGAAUUAUUGGGCGUAAAGCGCGCGCAGGCGGUUUUUUAAGUCUGAUGUGAAAGCCCACGGCUCAACCGUGGAGGGUCAUAGGAAACUGGAGAACUUGAGUACAGAAGAGGAAAGCGGAAUUCCACGUGUAGCGGUGAAAUGCGUAGAGAUGUGGAGGAACACCAGUGGCGAAGGCGGCUUUCUGGUCUGUAACUGACGCUGAGGCGCGAAAGCGUGGGGAGCAAACAGGGAUUAGAUACCCUGGUAGUCCACGCCGUAAACGAUGAGUGCUAAGUGUUAGGGGGUUUCCCGCCCCCUUAGUGCUGCAGCUAACGCAUUAAGCACUCCGCCUGGGGAGUACGGCCGCAAGGCUG
rnacentral:rRNA from 1 species